UUUCCGUAGGUGAACCUGCGGAAGGAUCAUUAUUGGAUUUUGAAACUUCAGGCUGCUGCUGGCUCUCCUCGGAGGGCAUGUGCACGCUUGUUGUCCAUUAUUUCUCCCACAGUGCACAAAUUGUAGACCUUUCAGUAGGCCUAUGUUGUUUUUCACAAUCUCUGAAUGUAAUAGAAUGGUUUUGAAUCUUGGGAAAUACAAUACAACUUUCAGCAACGGAUCUCUUGGCUCUC
rnacentral:misc_RNA from 1 species